rnacentral:rRNA from 1 species
AACGCUAGCUACAGGCUUAACACAUGCAAGUCGAGGGGCAGCAUGGUCUUAGCUUGCUAAGGCCGAUGGCGACCGGCGCACGGGUGAGUAACACGUAUCCAACCUGCCGUCUACUCUUGGACAGCCUUCUGAAAGGAAGAUUAAUACAAGAUGGCAUCAUGAGUUCACAUGUUCACAUGAUUAAAGGUAUUCCGGUAGACGAUGGGGAUGCGUUCCAUUAGAUAGUAGGCGGGGUAACGGCCCACCUAGUCUUCGAUGGAUAGGGGUUCUGAGAGGAAGGUCCCCCACAUUGGAACUGAGACACGGUCCAAACUCCUACGGGAGGCAGCAGUGAGGAAUAUUGGUCAAUGGGCGAGAGCCUGAACCAGCCAAGUAGCGUGAAGGAUGACUGCCCUAUGGGUUGUAAACUUCUUUUAUAAAGGAAUAAAGUCGGGUAUGUAUACCCGUUUGCAUGUACUUUAUGAAUAAGGAUCGGCUAACUCCGUGCCAGCAGCCGCGGUAAUACGGAGGAUCCGAGCGUUAUCCGGAUUUAUUGGGUUUAAAGGGAGCGUAGAUGGAUGUUUAAGUCAGUUGUGAAAGUUUGCGGCUCAACCGUAAAAUUGCAGUUGAUACUGGAUAUCUUGAGUGCAGUUGAGGCAGGCGGAAUUCGUGGUGUAGCGGUGAAAUGCUUAGAUAUCACGAAGAACUCCGAUUG